AUUGAACGCUGGCGGCAGGCCUAACACAUGCAAGUCGAGCGGAUGAAGAGAGCUUGCUCUCUGAUUUAGCGGCGGACGGGUGAGUAAUGCCUAGGGAUCUGCCUGGUAGUGGGGGAUAACGUUCCGAAAGGAACGCUAAUACCGCGUACGUCCUACGGGAGAAAGCAGGGGACCUUCGGGCCUUGCGCUAUCAGAUGAGCCUAGGUCGGAUUAGCUAGUUGGUGAGGUAAUGGCUCACCAAGGCGACGAUCCGUAACUGGUCUGAGAGAAUGAUCAGUCACACCGGAACUGAGACACGGUCCAGACUCCUACGGGAGGCAGCAGUGGGGAAUAUUGGACAAUGGGCAAAAGCCUGAUCCAGCCAUGCCGCGUGUGUGAAGAAGGUCUUCGGAUUGUAAAACACUUUAAGUUGGGAGGAAGGGCGUUUGGCUAAUAUCCAGGCGUUUUGACGUUACCAACAGAAUAAGCACCGGCUAACUUCGUGCCAGCCGCCGCCGUAACAC
rnacentral:rRNA from 1 species